ACUCGAGUGGCGAACGGGUGAGUAACACGUGGGUGAUCUGCCCUGCGCUCUGGGAUAAGCCUGGGAAACUGGGUCUAAUACCGGAUAGGACCAUGCUUUAGUGUGUGUGGUGGAAAGUUUUUCGGUGUAGGAUGAGCCCGCGGCCUAUCAGCUUGUUGGUGGGGUAAUGGCCUACCAAGGCGGCGACGGGUAGCCGGACUGAGAGGUUGGUCGGCCACAUUGGGACUGAGAUACGGCCCAG
rnacentral:rRNA from 1 species